rnacentral:rRNA from 1 species
CGGUGUUUAACUGGCGUGAUGUGGGACGUCCUACCGGUGGGCUUAGCCUCGCGAGGGGCGGCCCAACUAAUAUCCCGUCGCGGUGCUCUUUACUGAGUGUCGAGUCGGGCCGGUACGUUUACUUUGAACAAAUUAGAGUGCUUAAAGCAGGCUAUCCUCGCCUGAAUACUGCGUGCAUGGAAUAAUGGAAUAGGACCUCGGUUCUAUUUUGUUGGUUUUCGGAACCCCGAGGUAAUGAUUAAUAGGGACAGAUGGGGGCAUUCGUAUUGCGACGUUAGAGGUGAAAUUCUUGGAUCGUCGCAAGACGGGACAGAAGCGAAAGCAUUUGCCAAAAAUGUUUUCAUUAAUCAAGAACGAAAGUUAGAGGUUCGAAGGCGAUCAGAUACCGCCCUAGUUCUAACCAUAAACGAUGCCAGCUAGCGAUCCGCCGAAGUUCCUCCGAUGACUCGGCGGGCAGCUUCCGGGAAACCAAAGCUUUUGGGUUCCGGGGGAAGUAUGGUUGCAAAGCUGAAACUUAAAGGAAUUGACGGAAGGGCACCACCAGGAGUGGAGCCUGCGGCUUAAUUUGACUCAACACGGGAAACCUCACCAGGCCCAGACACCGGAAGGAUUGACAGAUUGAUAGCUCUUUCUUGAUUCGGUGGGUGGUGGUGCAUGGCCGUUCUUAGUUGGUGGAGCGAUUUGUCUGGUUAAUUCCGAUAACGAACGAGACUCUAGCCUGCUAAAUAGGCGUACCUUAUGGUAUCGCGAAGGCCCCCGGCUUCGGCCGGUGGGUUUUUACUACCAACGUACAAACAAAUCUUCUUAGAGGGACAGGCGG